rnacentral:piRNA from 1 species
CCAAUAAAAAAGGCUGAACAUUU